ensembl:lncRNA
GUAACAUGUACAGUAGCUCACGUCCUCACUCCUUAUUUUUACCUCCACCCCACCUCCCUGAUUGUGAGUGACUGGCAGCCAUCUCAGGAUUUAUUUUGCUUUCUUUUCAUUUUAAUAUUUACCCAGGCUGCCAUCAUUUCAUUUGGAGUUCAAUUUUUUUGUCAUAUAGUUCAUAUAAAUGAUUGUAUUGUAAGCUGUACUACAUCUCUUGUCGAGUGACAGCUGGGGAAGGCUCUUGCUCCUUACCAUCGAGAACUGGAUUAGCACUGGUCUGAUGACUGGAUGGAUAGAUAGGUGGCUGGAUGGGUGAAGUCAUGUAUGGGCAGGGAUUCUUAUAUUUAGAUCUGAUUCCACAUGAGUACCAAUUAUUUUCUUUUUCUUUUUUUUUAAUCUUGUAAUGUCACUGCUGUAAUUUUCAUCAUAAUCUAAAUAAAUAUUUUCGUAAAAACGUGCAAAUCUACUCUAUGUACAGUUGCGGUCAACAGUUUGCAUGCACUCAUCAUGGGCAUGAAAGUCGUGGUAAUUUGGGGCUUUUAAUGAUUGAUUUUUCUGGAAUGAUUGUACACAAUACAUCUUUAAUGACUAAAAGAAUAUUACUUGUGUGCUCAAGUUUGAAUUUAGUUUGGAUUUUCUCUCUUCCACACGAGGUCAAAAGGAUAUACACAACCUUAAAACAGUAUAUUGAGUUUAUGCAUCCCACUAAUAUUUUUGGUAACCAUCAACAAGCUUCUGUCAUAGUCUGUCUGAUAUUUUUGGGGAAAAGCCUAAUGUUACCCUGCUUUAUCCGUUGCAAAAGCAGUUUUGAUGUAUGUUUGACAUAAAUUUCCUGUUGGGACUCCCAAUCAUGUCAAACCAUCCAGCUGUGGGCUUUCUUUGGCCCAUUUGACCAUAAAACCAUCUCCAGAGGCAUUUGUCUCGUCCACGUGGGCAGCUCAAAAUUUCAGUUGAGUUUGAGUUGAGCUGAAGCUUCUUUCUUGGUCAACACCGUCUCAAUCUGUGACAAUGUAAAACUCACCUCACUGUGGACAUUGACACUGGUGUUCCAGCAAUUUCCAUAUCAUGGCAAACACUGAGGUGUUACUGAACAUCCUAACCAACCGCUCAUCUUUCAGAUCUUGUCAAAGUAGAGAUGCAUCUAAAAAAAAAACUUAUACUUAAUAUACGAUUGUUUGGUCAGUCCAACGAGUGCUGU